rnacentral:rRNA from 1 species
CCUACGGGUGGCUGCAGUGAGGAAUUUUCGGCAAUGGGGGAAACCCUGACCGAGCAAUACUACGUGAAGGAGGAAGGUCUAAGGAUUGUAAACUUCUGUUAGCGCGGAAGCGGUACGCGCAGAGAAAGCAACGACUAACUAUGUGCCAGCAGUCGCGGUAAGACAUAGGUUGCGAACGUUAUCCGGAAUUAUUGGGCGUAAAGGAUGCGUAGAUGGUGUGAUAAGUUAUCAGUGGGAAAUCGGGGCUCAACCUCGUGGAAGUUGAUAAUACUGUUAUGCUUGAGUGCAGGAGAGGUUGACGGAACUCUAUGUGGAGCGGUAAAAUGUGACGAUAUAUAGAAGAACACCAAAGGCGAAAGCAGUUAACUAUUCUGUACUGACAUUGAGGCAUGAAAGCGUGGGGAGCAAAACGGAUUAGAUACCCUUGUAGUC